rnacentral:rRNA from 1 species
AGUGAAUGCUGGCGGUAGGCCUAACACAUGCAAGUCGAACGGCAGCACAGUAAGCGCUUGCUCUUACGGGUGGCGAGUGGCGGACGGGUGAGGAAUACAUCGGAAUCUACUUUUUCGUGGGGGGUAACGUAGGGAAACUUACGCUAAUACCGCAUACGACCUACGGGUGAAAGCAGGGGAUCUUCGGACCUUGCGCGAUUGAAUGAGCCGAUGUCGGAUUAGCUAGUUGGCGGGGUAAAGGCCCACCAAGGCGACGAUCCGUAGCUGGUCUGAGAGGAGGAUCAGCCACACUGGAACUGAGACACGGUCCAGACUCCUACGGGAGGCAGCAGUGGGGAAUAUUGGACAAUGGGCGCAAGCCUGAUCCAGCCAUACCGCGUGGGUGAAGAAGGCCUUCGGGUUGUAAAGCCCUUUUGUUGGGAAAGAAAAGCAGCAGGUUAAUACCCCGCUGUUCUGACAGUACCCAAAGAAUAAGCACCGGCUAACUUCGUG